UACGUAGGGUGCGAGCGUUAAUCGGAAUUACUGGGCGUAAAGGGCUCGUAGGCGGCCAACUAAGUCCGACGUGAAAUCCCCAGGCUUAACCUGGGAACUGCGUCGGAUACUGGAUGGCUUGAAUUCGGGAGAGGGAUGCAGAAUUCCAGGUGUAGCGGUGAAAUGCGUAGAUAUCUGGAGGAAUACCGGUGGCGAAGGCGGCAUCCUGGACCGACAUUGACGCUGAGGAGCGGAAGCUAGGGGAGCAAACGGG
rnacentral:rRNA from 1 species